AAAGAUCUAAAAUUGUCUAAUUUAGGACCAAAAUAUUCAAAUCGAUUUAAACCGUUAAUUCACGGUAACCGACCGAUUUUUGCGAAGCGGUCGGUUUGCGGUUUCAAAAAUCGUCUUACUGCAAAUAGUCGGUCGGUUUGCGGUUCUGGGAAAAAUUCGUUAUUAUCGAACCGCAACCACCCCUACUAUAUAUGGCCCGAGAAAAAACUAAUGUUCUUGACCAAAAAAAAAAGAGAAAAAAUGUAAUAACCCAAACCUAAAUUAUUAUUUAAUUCUUAAUUUAUUAAGGAGAAAAGACAAUUUUGCCCUUGGAAUACUUUAUUAAAGAAAAGUUGAAGGAAUUUGAUACUUUCACACACACUGUCGCAUAGAGCACGACGAAAUGAGUCCGUAGACACGAAGUGGACUCGAAUCGGAGCUUUAACGAAGGAAAUACGGUUAAAAUACUCCAGGGGCAAAACGGUAAUUUGAAAAAUCAGAUUUUCAAAACCUCAUUUCUCUCUCUUCUCCCUCAGUUUCUCUCUCUCUCUCUCUCUCUCUCUCUCUCUCUCUCUCUCUCCCGUCGCGACAAUUCCCUUCCCCUUACACAGCCGAUCGGUUCUCUCCUCGCCGCCACCAUGUCCAGCCGCCAUCUUCGUUGGUACUGGUCCCAAAAGAACCAGCUCAUCAUCCUCUACAAGUCCCAGCCCUCGGCCGCUCCACUCCGCCGCCGGUGUCGCCGGAAUUUGCAGACUCCGGUGGUUUUUCUCGAAAAUUCAAACCGUUCGUUC
rnacentral:lncRNA from 1 species